rnacentral:misc_RNA from 1 species
AUUUAGUAAAAAGUUUCUUGGGGUUUCUCGUAUUGAAAAUCUACUAAAAUUUUCUAUUUUUUUUUAAUUAGCUAUCGAAGAGAAUGAUUAAAUAAAAUAGAUAUUUUUAUAAGCUUUGUAAAAUAUAGCACGAUUCAACCACCGAGUUUGAUCAUGUGUCGUUAGAUUUGAAGAGUUCAAAUCUUCCGGUGACAAACACGAAGAGAUCCAAUUGUCCCUGUACGGUUCAGAGGGUAAAGAGGAGUGGGACAAGGGUUCGGUGUACGGGCAAGCCCAGAACUGGGCGCGCUACUUGUCCGACAUGCCCGCUAACAAAAUGACACCAGUGGACUUUGCCCAGGCCGCACUGGACACGCUGUGCCCUCUGGGGGUGACGGUGACAGUGCACGAGCGCGAGUGGCUGGAGGCGCAGCGCAUGCGCGGUGUGCUGGGCGUGGCCGCCGCGUCCUGCGAGGAGCCGCUGUUGCUGGAGUGCGCGUGGCGCGGCGCCAGCCACUCGCCCGUCCUAC